UACGAAGGGAGCUAGCGUUGUUCGGAAUCACUGGGCGUAAAGCGCACGUAGGCGGAUUUGUCAGUCAGGGGUGAAAUCCCGGGGCUCAACCUCGGAACUGCCUUUGAUACAGCAAGUCUUGAGUUCGAGAGAGGUGGGUGGAAUUCCUAGUGUAGAGGUGAAAUUCGUAGAUAUUAGGAAGAACACCGGUGGCGAAGGCGGCCCACUGGCUCGAUACUGACGCUGAGGUGCGAAAGCAUGGGGAGCGAACAGG
rnacentral:rRNA from 1 species